rnacentral:rRNA from 1 species
GACGAACGCUGGCGGCGUGCCUAAUACAUGCAAGUUGAGCGCUGAAGGUUGGUACUUGUACCAACUGGAUGAGCAGCGAACGGGUGAGUAACGCGUGGGGAAUCUGCCUUUGAGCGGGGGACAACAUUUGGAAACGAAUGCUAAUACCGCAUAAAAACUUUAAACACAAGUUUUAAGUUUGAAAGAUGCAAUUGCAUCACUCAAAGAUGAUCCCGCGUUGUAUUAGCUAGUUGGUGAGGUAAAGGCUCACCAAGGCGAUGAUACAUAGCCGACCUGAGAGGGUGAUCGGCCACAUUGGGACUGAGACGCGGCCCAAACUCCUACGGGAGGCAGCAGUAGGGAAUCUUCGGCAAUGGACGAAAGUCUGACCGAGCAACGCCGCGUGAGUGAAGAAGGUUUUCGGAUCGUAAAACUCUGUUGGUAGAGAAGAACGUUGGUGAGAGUGGAAAGCUCAUCAAGUGACGGUAACUACCCAGAAAGGGACGGCUAACUACGUG